rnacentral:rRNA from 1 species
GAUGAACGCUGGCGGCGUGCCUAAUACAUGCAAGUCGAGCGAACGGACGAGAAGCUUGCUUCUCUGAUGUUAGCGGCGGACGGGUGAGUAACACGUGGAUAACCUACCUAUAAGACUGGGAUAACUUCGGGAAACCGGAGCUAAUACCGGAUAAUAUUUUGAACCGCAUGGUUCAAAAGUGAAAGACGGUCUUGCUGUCACUUAUAGAUGGAUCCGCGCUGCAUUAGCUAGUUGGUAAGGUAACGGCUUACCAAGGCAACGAUGCAUAGCCGACCUGAGAGGGUGAUCGGCCACACUGGAACUGAGACACGGUCCAGACUCCUACGGGAGGCAGCAGUAGGGAAUCUUCCGCAAUGGGCGAAAGCCUGACGGAGCAACGCCGCGUGAGUGAUGAAGGACUUCGGAUCGUAAAACUCUGUUAUUAGGGAAGAACAUAUGUGUAAGUAACUGUGCACAUCUUGACGGUACCUAAUCAGAAAGCCACGGCUAACUACGUG